GAUGAACGCUCGCUCCAGGCUUAACACAUGCAAGUCGAGGGGCAGCAUGAUUGAAGCUUGCUUCAAUCGAUGGCGACCGGCGCACGGGUGAGUAACACGUAUCCAACCUGCCGAUAACUCGGGGAUAGCCUUUCGAAAGAAAGAUUAAUACCCGAUAGUAUAGUAUUUCCGCAUGGUUUCACUAUUAAAGAACUUCGGUUAUCGAUGGGGAUGCGUUCCAUUAGAUAGUUGGCGGGGUAACGGCCCACCAAGUCAACGAUGGAUAGGGGUUCUGAGAGGAAGGUCCCCCACAUUGGAACUGAGACACGGUCCAAACUCCUACGGGAGGCAGCAGUGAGGAAUAUUGGUCAAUGGACGAGAGUCUGAACCAGCCAAGUAGCGUGAAGGAUGACUGCCCUAUGGGUUGUAAACUUCUUUUAGACGGGAAUAAAGUGGAGUAUGCAUACUCCUUUGUAUGUACCGUAUGAAUAAGGAUCGGCUAACUCCGUG
rnacentral:rRNA from 1 species